UACGUAGGGUGCAAGCGUUAAUCGGAAUUACUGGGCGUAAAGCGUGCGCAGGCGGUUGUGUAAGACAGAUGUGAAAUCCCCGGGCUCAACCUGGGAACUGCAUUUGUGACUGCAUCGCUGGAGUGCGGCAGAGGGGGAUGGAAUUCCGCGUGUAGCAGUGAAAUGCGUAGAUAUGCGGAGGAGCACCGAUGGCGAAGGCAAUCCCCUGGGCCUGCACUGACGCUCAUGCACGAAAGCGUGGGGAGCAAACAGG
rnacentral:rRNA from 1 species